GACAGAGGGGGCAAGCGUUGCUCGGAAUCACUGGGCGUAAAGGGCGCGUAGGCGGGAUGGCAAGUCGGUCGUGAAAUCCUUCGGCUCAACCGAAGAACGUCGGCCGAUACUGCCGUUCUUGAGGGAUGCAGAGGAGAUUGGACUUCCCGGUGUAGCGGUGAAAUGUGUAGAGAUCGGGAGGAACACCGGUGGCGAAGGCGGGUCUCUGGGCAUCUCCUGACGCUGAGGCGCGAAAGCGUGGGGAGCAAACGGG
rnacentral:rRNA from 1 species